rnacentral:rRNA from 1 species
GUCGAACGGUAACAGGUAAGUACUUGUACUUAUGCUGACGAGUGGCGGACGGGUGAGUAAUGCUUGGGGAUCUGGCUUAUGGAGGGGGAUAACGACGGGAAACUGUCGCUAAUACCGCGUAGAAUCGGGAGAUGAAAGUGUGGGACCUUCGGGCCACAUGCCAUAGGAUGAACCCAAGUGGGAUUAGGUAGUUGGUGGGGUAAUGGCCUACCAAGCCGACGAUCUCUAGCUGGUCUGAGAGGAUGACCAGCCACACCGGGACUGAGACACGGCCCGGACUCCUACGGGAGGCAGCAGUGGGGAAUAUUGCGCAAUGGGGGCAACCCUGACGCAGCCAUGCCGCGUGAAUGAAGAAGGCCUUCGGGUUGUAAAGUUCUUUCGGUGACGAGGAAGGUUGUUGUGUUAAUAGCGCAACAAAUUGACGUUAAUCACAGAAGAAGCACCGGCUAACUCCGUGCCAGCAGCCGCGGUAAUACGGAGGGUGCGAGCGUUAAUCGGAAUAACUGGGCGUAAAGGGCACGCAGGCGGACUUUUAAGUGAGGUGUGAAAUC